AGCGAACGCUGGCGGCGUGCUUAACACAUGCAAGUCGAGCGAAGGUGUUUCAAGGGUAACCUUGAGAUACACUUAGCGGCGGACGGGUGAGUAAUACGUGGAUAACUUACCUCUAGGCCUGGGAUAACCCCGGGAACUGGGGCUAAUACCUGAUAAGACCACAUUGUCUACGGACAAAGGGGGUAAAGGUGGCUGUGCAAACAGCUAUCGCCAAAAGAUAGGUUCACGUCCCAUCAGCAGUGGUGAGGUAAUGGCUCACCAAACCAAGACGGGUAGCCGGCCUUGGCGGGUGAACGGCCACACGGGGACUGAGACACGGCCCCGACUCC
rnacentral:rRNA from 1 species